AUGUGGCGCACUAGACCAGGAGGAUUCUAUGGCCUUCGAGCUGGAAUUAGUACAUGGGGUUCACCAAAUCAAGAAUACUCUCAAGACUCCGGAGCAUCCAUACAAAUUUAUUGUCAAGAUGGAGGACACUACAACUUAAUUGAAGCCGGAUUUCAUGUAUCCCCUUCUUUGUAUCAUAACAGAGAUGUCCGUUUCUUCACAUAUUGGACGAAGGACUUUAAAUCAGCGGGCUGCUACAACUUGCGGUGCAAAGGAUUUGUUCCUGCAAGUGGAGUUGCACUAGUGCCUGGGCAAGCGGUUACUCCUCCAUCAAGUUAUGGCGAGUAUGACCACUAUGUUAGGCUUAGUCUUAAUAAGGAUCCCAAAUCCGGAGAUUGGGUGGUGUACCGUCACGAUUUGCAAACCCCGUCGUUCUUGGGUUAUUUUCCAGUGCAACUUUGUUCCGGAACACCGCGUAUACAAGCAUUGACCGGAUUUGUCAAUUACUUAAAUAGUACUCAUGGUCCUCCAAUGGGUAGUGGUCACUUUCCUGAUGAGAAGGAUGACGACAAGACAACUGCGUACUUCAAGCAUGUUAAGAACUACGACUCCAAAGGUCGCGCUUUCGAACCAAUUACAGUUAAUAUGACCCCUUUAGUUGACAAGCCGGAUUGUUACACAGAAACUGAUUUCCUUCCUGGUAUCAACAAGGGGUACCAUUUUCACUAUGGUGGACCAAGUGGUUGUGUUGGUUGA
rnacentral:rRNA from 1 species